UCUGGUCUCCUUCCUUUUGAGAGCCUUGGAGCACACACUGGACGUUGUUCCGUUUUAUCAUCUUUUGCACCCACUAAUCAUAGAUUCUUGCUUUAAAUUGAGUUUCCAGUUAAUGCGUCUGGGUAGGAUCCAACAGGGUCAAACUACUGUUUAAAAGUUCCUUAUCAAACUGAAUAAAUAGAGGUGUGUUUGAGUCGGGUACCAACAGCACCAGUAUUCACCAGCACUGGCACCAUGCUCCGUGUAAGGCUCAGCUGGACUCUGUUGCUGGCAGCGACCUGUUUGCUCAGCGGAGCAGAUGCUUCCAUGGAGAAAGCUGUCACCUGUCACAUGGGCGUUGUCCAGAGGUUGAGCUGUGGUACGAUGCAUGUUUACACCUGCACAACCAAAGCGACUCGGCGGGGAUGUGAAAAACCGGCUUGUACAUUUCACUCAGUCAAUGAAACUCUUGGAAUUCAUGAUUUUUGAUUCAUGAUGAUUUUUACAUUUUUUUUCAUCUGAAGGUUCAUCGUCCUAAAUUGGAGACAUUUUUUAAACAAAUACAUAAAUUGGGCCUGCUCUACACUGGGGCAAGAGGGGGCAAUGCCCCCUUAAACAAACUUCCUGCCCCCUUAAGUCAAACUUUUGGAAGUUGAGAAAAAAAAACAGAUUAUCCACAAACUGAUUUUGGACAAGAUUUACUACAGUAGCUGAAAAAAUCUGCCGGGAAAUGUACAAAUGAGAUGAUCGGGUUUAAGUCUUGUUUGCUCUUUUCCUCUGUUGUGUGCAGGCUCACACACUCACCCUCCCCUCAGCUAAACAUCCAAUCACUUUAAGUAUGCAAAUGAUCCAGUGUCCAGUUUCUCAGCAGUGUUGCCAAUUUAGGGACUUUGUUGCUGUCCGACACCCUUAACUACUUUUUAUCUAAAACAACUUCUAAAAGUAGCAACUUCUCACUACUUUUAGGACAGCCAAUAGUGAUGUUUCUUACUGAGGAGUUGGCAACACUGUUUCUCAGUAGGCAGAACAGAGCAGCUAAUCUGUGUGUGGUGUAACCAGAGGUGGGUAGUAACGAGUUACCUUUACUCCGUUACAUUUAAUGAAAAAAAGUACUUUUAAAGUACCUUUUUACUUUUA